CAGUAGCCACGUAAUACGAGGGGGGCAAGCGUUGUUCGGAAUUAUUGGGCGUAAAGGGCGCGUAGGCGGUUUGGCAAGUUUGGUGUGAAAUCUUCGGGCUCAACUCGAAGUCUGCAUCGAAAACUGCCGGGCUUGAGUAUGGGAGAGGUGAGUGGAAUUUCCGGUGUAGCGGUGAAAUGCGUAGAUAUCGGAAGGAACACCUGUGGCGAAAGCGGCUCACUGGACCAUUACUGACGCUGAGGCGCGAAAGCUAGGGGAGCAAACAGGAUUAGAGACCCCUGUAGUCCCUGUCUCUUAUACA
rnacentral:rRNA from 1 species